UAGUUAUAUGCUUGUCUCAAAGAUUAAGCCAUGCACGUGUAAGUACACGCUUUAGUAUAGUGAAACUGCGAAUGGCUCAUUAAAUCAUAUGUGAUUUCUUAGAUCGUUGCUUUCCUUCGGGAAAGUCUGGAUAACUGUGGCAAUUCUAGAGCUAAUACAUGCAACCAAGCUCCAACCUUCGUGGGACGAGCGCUCUUAUUAGACCGAGGCCAACCUGCUGGGCAACUGGCAGUUAGCUGUGGUGACUCUGAAUAAACACAGUUGAUCGCACGACUUUACGUCGGCGACGUAUCUUUCAAGCGUAUGCCCUAUCAGCUGUCGACGGUAGGGUAGUGGCCUACCGUGGCAUCAACGGGUAACGGGGGAUCAGGGUCCGAUCCCGGAGAGUAAGCCUGAGAGACGGCUUACACAUCUAAGGAAGGCAGCAGGCGCGCAAAUUACCCAAUGGGGACACCCUGAGGUAGUGACAAGAAAUAACAAUACGCGACUCUUUCGAGGCCGCGUAAUUGGAAUGAGCACAGUCUAAAUCCUUUAGCGAGGAUCAAUUGGAGGGCAAGUCUGGUGCCAGCAGCCGCGGUAAUUCCAGCUCCAAUAGCGUAUAUUAAAGUUGCUGCAGUUAAAAAGCUCGUAGUUGACAAUCGGUGCUCGUCUCGGCGGUCCUGUUCACGCAGGCACUGCCUUGAUGGCCUCUACACACUGGCUUGAGGUCGUGCAGGCUGGGAAACUGGCAGCACGUUCCAGAGCCCCGGGUGUCCUUUAUUGGGUGCCCGUGGGUGGCCUUUGCGUUUACUUUGAAGAAAUUAGAGUGUUCAAAGCGGGCUAUCUAUAGCUCGGAUACUCGUACAUGGAAUAAUGGAAUAGGACCCUGGGUCAUUUCCGUUGGUCUAUGGCCAUUGGGUAAUGAUUAAAAGGGACUGCCGGGGGCAUUGGUAUGGUGGGGGGAGAGGUGAAAUUCCGUGAUCCUCGCCAGACCAACUACAGCGAAAGCAUUUGCCAAGAAUGUCUUCAUUAAUCAAGAACGAAAGUCAGAGGUUCGAAGACGAUCAGAUACCGUCGUAGUUCUGACCAUAAACGAUGCCAGCUUGGAAGUGGCGAUGGUUGUAUUUCAUGACCCCGCCACGGCCCGUCGGGAAACCAUAAGCGUUUGGGUUCCGGGGGAAGUAUGGUUGCAAAGCUGAAACUUAAAGGAAUUGACGGAAGGGCACCACCAGGAGUGGAGCCUGCGGCUUAAUUUGACUCAACACGGGAAAACUCACCCGGCCCGGACACUGCAAGGAUUGACAGAUUGAGAGCUCUUUCUCGAUUCGGUGGAUGGUGGUGCAUGGCCGUUCUUAGUUGGUGGAGUGAUUUGUCUGGUUAAUUCCGAUAACGAACGAGACUCUAGCCUACUAACUAGUUCGCCGAUCUACUUCACGUGGGUUGGUAAUAAACUUCUUAGAGGGACAAGUGGCGCUUAGCCACGCGAGAUGGAGCAAUAACAGGUCUGUGAUGCCCUUAGAUGUCCGGGGCCGCACGCGCGCUACACUGAAAGAAUCAACGUGUUUGAAGGCACCUGAUCCGAGAGGGUUGGGCAAUCCGUUGAACCUCUUUCGUGCUAGGGAUUGGGGCUUGUAAUUCUUCCCCAUGAACGAGGAAUUCCCAGUAAGCACGAGUCAUCAGCUCGUGUUGAUUACGUCCCUGCCCUUUGUACACACCGCCCGUCGCUACUACCGAUUGGAUGGCUUAGUGAGACCUUUGGACUGGACCGUCUUUCGGGGGUUUCGGCUCUCUCUGGCGUGGCUGGGAAGAAGGUCGAACUGGACUGUCUAGAGGAAGUAAAAGUCGUAACAAGGUUUCCGUA
rnacentral:rRNA from 1 species